AGAGUUUGAUCCUGGCUCAGGACGAACGCUGGCGGUGCGCCUAAUGCAUGCAAGUCGAACGGGCAAUGGGGCUUCGGCCCCGGCGCUAGUGGCAGACGGCUGAGUAACACGUAAGUGAUCUGCCCCGGAGAGGGGGAUAAUCCGGAGAAAUCCGGCCUAAUACCCCGUACGUUCAUAUGGUUACGGCCGUAUGAAGAAAGGUUUCGACCGCUCUGGGAGGAGCUUGCGGCCUAUCAGGUAGUUGGCGGGGUAAUGGCCCACCAAGCCUAAGACGGGUAACCGAUGUGAGAGCAUGAUCGGUCAGAGGGGGACUGAGACACGGCCCCCACUCCUACGGGAGGCAGCAGCAGGGAAUCUUGCGCAAUGGGCGAAAGCCUGACGCAGCGACACCGCGUGGGGGAAGAAGGCUUUAGGGUUGUAAACCCCUUUUCUGUGGGAAGAGAUAGGACGGUACCACAGGAAUAAGCAUCGGCUAACUACGUGCCAGCAGCCGCGGUAAUACGUAGGAUGCAAGCGUUGUCCGGAUUUACUGGGCGUAAAGGGUGUGUAGGCGGCAUGUUAAGUCUCAUGUGAAAUCUCCCGGCUCAACUGGGAGCGGUCAUGGGAAACUGGCAAGCUUGAGGGCAGCAGAGGAAAGCGGAAUUCCGGGAGUAGUGGUGGAAUGCGUAGAUACCCGGAGGAACACCAGAGGCGAAGGCGGCUUUCUGGGCUGUACCUGACGCUGAGACACGAAAGCGUGGGGAGCAAACCGGAUUAGAUACCCGGGUAGUCCACGCCCUAAACGAUGGAUACUAGAUAUAGGGGGUAUCGACCCCUCCUGUGUCGGAGCUAACGCGAUAAGUAUCCCGCCUGGGGAGUACGGCCGCAAGGCUAAAACUCAAAGGAAUUGACGGGUCCCCGCACAAGCGGCGGAGCGUGUGGUUUAAUUCGAUGAUAAGCGAAGAACCUUACCUGGGCUUGACAUGCGUCUGACAGCCCGUGAAAGCGGGUUUUCCUUCGGGACAGAUGCACAGAUGUUGCAUGGCUGUCGUCAGCUCGUG
rnacentral:rRNA from 1 species